UACGUAGGGUGCAAGCGUUAAUCGGAAUUACUGGGCGUAAAACGUGCGCAGGCGGUUUUGUAAGACUGUCGUGAAAUCCCCGGGCUCAACCUGGGAAUGGCGAUGGUGACUGCAAGGCUAGAGUUUGGCAGAGGGGGGUAGAAUUCCACGUGUAGCAGUGAAAUGCGUAGAUAUGUGGAGGAACACCGAUGGCGAAGGCAGCCCCCUGGGUCAAAACUGACGCUCAUGCACGAAAGCGUGGGGAGCAAACAGG
rnacentral:rRNA from 1 species